rnacentral:rRNA from 1 species
AGUUUGAUCAUGGCUCAGAACGAACGCUGGCGGCGUGGAUAAGACAUGCAAGUCGAACGAAGAAUAUUCGGUAGCAAUACUGGGUAUUUUUAGUGGCGAAAGGGUGCGUAACACGUGGGUAAUCUACCGUAAAGUUCGGAAUAACUUCGAGAAAUCAAAGCUAAUACCGAAUGUGAUCUGACAGGGACAUCCCUGUUCCAUUAAAGCUGGGGACCUUCGGGCCUGGCGCUUUACGAUGAGCCCGCGCCCUAUCAGCUUGUUGGUGAGGUAAAAGCUCACCAAGGCUAAGACGGGUAGCCGGUCUGAGAGGACGAUCGGCCACACUGGAACUGAGACACGGUCCAGACACCUACGGGUGGCAGCAGUCGAGAAUCAUUCACAAUGGGGGAAACCCUGAUGGUGCGACGCCGCGUGGGGGAUGAAGGUCUUCGGAUUGUAAACCCCUGUCAUUUGUGAACAAACCUUUUGGUUUAAUAGAUCAAAGGCUGAUAGUAGCAAAAGAGGAAGGGACGGCUAACUCCGUGCCAGCAGCCGCGGUAAUACGGAGGUCCCAAGCGUUGUUCGGAUUUACUGGGCGUAAAGGGUGCGUAGGUGGCCAGGAAAGUUUGAUGUGAAAGCUCCGAGCUCAACUCGGAAAAUGCAUUGAAUACUACUUGGCUUGAGGAUCGGAGGGGAGACUGGAAUUCUCGGUGUAGCAGUGAAAUGCGUAGAUAUCGAGAGGAACACCAGUGGCGAAGGCGAGUCUCUGGACGAUUCCUGACACUGAGGCACGAAAGCUAGGGGAGCAAACAGGAUUAGAUACCCUGGUAGUCCUAGCCGUAAACGGUGCACACUUGCUGUAGGAGGAUUCGACCCCUUCUGUGGCGGAGCAAACGCGUUAAGUGUGCCGCCUGGGGAGUACGGUCGCAAGAUUAAAACUCAAGAAAUUGACGGGGGCCUGCACAAGCGGUGGAGUAUGUGGCUUAAUUCGAUGCAACGCGAAGAACCUUACCUGGCCUUGACAUGCAUCUCNCUAAGCGUGUGAAAGCAACGGUG